rnacentral:rRNA from 1 species
AAAACUAUUAACAACGGAUCUCUUGGUUCUCGCAUCGAUGAAGACCGCAGCAAAGCGCGAUAGUUAAUGUGAAUUGCAGACGUGAAUCAUUGAGUUGUUGAACGCACAUUGC